AAAAAAAAAACUCUUCAAGAAUUCUGAUUAAUACAUUUCAGCUGUGUUUCUACAAAGAUGGCUUGAAAUAUAUUCCAUUUUCAAAGGAGGUUGUUUGAAGAAAUCCACAUUUCCCGGAAUCCAAUUUCUGCCCCCAGUCCAGAACAGAGAGAGGUUUCUAAAACACAGAAGCUUUUUCCUCUUUCAUACUGAAUUUACUCCAUCACCAGGCUGUUCGGAAGUGACAGUUUGUUUUCUGCUUUGCACUGCCAAGGGAGGAACUGGAUUUUGAAUCUAUUCUUCAUCUGGUCACAAGGGUAACCAACAGAGUGAAAGAGCCACUUGAUCGCAUCUCUUUUGCAUUUCCACAAUACCAGGAUUAAAGGUUUCCGACCGUCUAAAAGUGCUCAGGUUAGAGAAAAGGAAACAGAAAUGACCGCGAGGUACAGUAACGACACCGGAGAGCUGUCAGGGAAGUUCCAUUUCAGGACGACCACAAAAAAACACUCCUCUCGGGGGAGCCAAGAAGUCAGAGAGGGAACAAAGCUCUCCACACUUGAGCUGGACUCACUGUUGUACCUGCGAACGUAAUUUCCGCUGUGUCCCCUGAUUAGAAUCUGACUCCAUGCCUUUGUGAAUGAGAACUAUCAUUCAAUCUCACCAGGCAGAAACUAUUCCUCAAGGGCUGUAUGACGUCUGUAGGAAGGCAGUUCAAAACAUCGCAGGGAAGUGAGAGAGAGGGAAAAAAAAAAAAAGACCCAGCGCCCAGCCCAGCGGGUCUAGUCAAUUGCUGAAAUUUACAAAGCUUCUUUGCAGAUCAGCGCCAGAGAGGAGGAGUGUAAACCAGCCAAACAGAAGACAUCUCGAAACUUAUUUCCUCCUCUGAGAAAUGAGGUGUCUCUUGUUAUUCAAGGAUUCUGGAAUGAAAAUCAUACCAUAUUAUUACAAUUCGGCCUCAAGAGUAUUUAUGGCUCUGGAAGAAACAUUUUCUGUGUGUCUUUAAAGCUGAGAACUAGGAACAGUUUAACAGGAUGCUUUUGGAAAAAUGAAAAGACAAUGACCAAAGGUACACCGAACCAUUUGAAGAUUUUUUAUUGGGGUAAUCAGUCCACAAAAAAAUACUCUUUCCACUCGUCAAAGAGUGGCUCAUUACCCAGGAAUGUCUGAGACCCCAAUGUGAUCAACUUUUUUUUACUUGCAAAGAGAAACCUGGAAUUAUAUUAUAUGAGAGAUCUUCACUUUUAAAAUGUUGCUGGUAUCUCAAAUUUUAUAAAAUACCAUCUGGCCAAUACUAUGAAAUCAAACAAAAUAAGUUUGAUGUGGGGGUGCUCCUUGUGUUACUAGAUUUCUUUUUAACUGCCAUUUAAGAUGUACUGACUUACUGUUUUACUAAUCUCAAAAAAAAAAAA
rnacentral:lncRNA from 1 species